GUUCUACCUUGACGAAUUGUAGUUUAAAGAAGUGUUUUCUGUUAGAUGAGUGGCAAAAGUUCCUUGGAAUGGGACAUCAUAGAGGGUGAGAAUCCCGUAUUUGGUUAUUCAUUCUAGCUUUGUGAUACACUUUCAAAGAGUCGGAUUGUUUGGGAAUGCAGUCCAAAAUGGGUGGUAAAUUUCAUCUAAAGCUAAAUAUUGGCGAGAGACCGAUAGCGAACAAGUACCGUGAGGGAAAGAUGAAAAGAACUUUGAAAAGAGAGUUAAACAGUACGUGAAAUUGUCAAAAGGGAAGCGUUUGACACCAGUGUUGUUUUUCCGAAAAUCAAUUACGAAUGGCUUGAUUUUGUGUUGUAUUGACCUUAUCAGCUUUCUUCACUUUUUUCGAGUCUUUCUU
rnacentral:rRNA from 1 species